rnacentral:lncRNA from 1 species
AGAACACAGAGUUCUUUCUCUCUAAAGGAUGCAGCAACAAGGUACCAUAUUGGAACCAGAGACUGAACCUUCCAGCACCUUGCUUUUGAACUUCCCAGCCUCCAGAACUGAAUUUCCCGGCACAAAUUUGCUUGGUGCCAACCUUGUGAGACGGGACUUGCUCCUCCUUGCCUUCUGCCAUGAUUGUGAGGCCUUCCCAGCCACGUGGAACUGUAAGUCCAUUAAACCUCUUUUUCUUUCCAGUGUCAGGUAUGUCUUUAUCAGCAGAAUGAAAAUGGGCUAACACACGCUUUAACAGACUGCUUUGUUUACCAUCACUUUAAAAUAACAGAGCAGACAAUGGACCAAUGUAACAGAACAGAAUCUGGAACCAGAUUCCAUAUGGGUUUACACAUCUGAAUGACAAAUGUGCUAUUAUAAGUCAGUGGGGGGAAAGGAAUCCUGGGUAAAUCUCACUGAAAACAUGCUUAUCUCUUUAGAAGAAGUGAAACAAAAUGAAAUUAGGUUCCUACCUCACAUCAAUACAUAAAUCAAUUUCAGGAAGAUUAAGAAUAUAAAUGUGAAAAGCAAAACAUUUAGGCAAAUUGUGGAUGUAAAUUAUUCUCCAACUCUUAGAUUAUACAGAUAAGACAAAAAUAUCAGUGAAAAAGACUGCAAUUUGCCUAAAAUUUCUAUACAGUAUAAUAG